rfam:Acyrthosiphon pisum strain LSR1 Contig1026266, whole genome shotgun sequence.
AAAAAGGCCCUUUUCAGGGCCACCAAAAAGGACUUAUAUGCUGGCG